AACAAAGAACCCUAAAUACUGAAGAAUAUGUUUGCCCACAGAGCAUGGGUAAAUACAUAUGCUAUUUUUGUUGUGUGAUCAAGCUAAUAAACACCAAUUAUAUUUUUCACAGCUUGUUCUGUAUUUACAUAGUGUGCCAAUUGUUGUAAAGGGUGCUGUCCUGGAUGCAAUCACACAAUCCAUUCCUUUAAAUUACACACAUCUUGCUGAUAGUAGUCUUACCACCACAGUUCCAUUUUCCUCACUUCAUUAAAAGAAAACCGGCGUCAUUAUCUAUUAACUAUGGACCAUUUGGUCUUCCAUGUUAUCGCCAGGCUAGACAUUUUUUGACCAAAUGAGGAUCCAGGGGUCAUCAGUGGUCUCCUGACCGAAGAGAGAUGCCAACAAGCAGGCACCACCAACAAAGACGUAGGACUACCAUUCAAUGCUCAGGCCCCAGUAGCUCUGAGCAUCGACUCACAUUUUACCACUGUGACUGCGGCAGAUCCCGAGCCCAAGCCCACCAAAGAUUACGCUGGAGGCCACUUGGAAGUAAGUUAGAAAGCUACCUAACAUUAAAAUAAAUGAAGUGCCUACUCACUGCAAAUCCAUGCAUCCAAGCCCAAAUUAAAUGUUUUAUGUAGGUUAUUACACAAAGAUUAGGCAAUGUUAGCAUCAACCUCUGAGCUCUGGCAUGUUAAAGUUGUAAAUAUGAUGUUAUGCUAUCUAGCUCAGUGUGUUACAGUACUGUAUUACUUGGCUAGGCUAGCCCUUUCUACUAUUGAGGCUGUGGUACAUUUACAAAAAUGUUGCCCUUUUUCAGCCAACAUUGCAUUACAUUUAGUAACUUUUUAUGUUUGGUUAAUUUGAUUUUGUAGAAAAAUAGGCGAAAUGGAGGGCGCCAUCAAAGACAUUAGAGAAUCCAUCAACAAGAUAAAAUCGAAGAUGCAUGUCAAUAAAUGGAAGCAUGCAACUGCCGCUGGAGCUGUGCAUCGGUAAGGCAAGUCGUCAGAAACCUUGGAGAGCUCCAGUGGAGAGUGGGUCCAGGUGACUGGUACUGGGUGAUAACCGAGGGAAAGGAUCCCAUGUCCAGCCAAACCAGAGUGAGAGGGAGAACUAAAGAACCACCAAGCCAACCUUCCCACAAGAGGUAUUUGUCUGUGGGAGACGAAAUUGAGACAUAGACCCAAUAUUAAUGGAUAAUUCGUUUUGAAAUGAAUGAGUUUGUCAGGAUGGUUGAAUGUUUUCAGACAAUUAUAGUUUAUGUUUACAAGUGUAAGUCUAAUGUUGAUAUUUCCUUUGCUGUUCAAAUAAAUAAAUA